UCCGCCUGGGUGCCCUCUUCAUCGGUGUACGAUAGUGGAAGGUUGUCGCCACUACCAUCACCAGCGAUUAUCUGCUCCAUGAGAUACCUUGCGGUCUCGUCGUCUGCCAUUUCAACUAUUGAUUGAAACAUACAUGUAAUCAUACAUGACAGUCAUAGAAAUCGCCUUAGUUAUAUGUACAUAAGGGUAUAUACAUGAAAUCAUAAAAUAACAUGAAUCCCACAAAGUUCGGAAUAUUUAUACAAAUUUCUAAAAAUUAGUAGUACGUUGUACGAAUUUCUAGCAAUAACAUGAAUUUGUACGAAUUUCUAGCAAUAACAUGAAUUUUGUACAAAUUUCUAGCAAUAACAUGAAUUUGUACGAAUUUCGCGCGGUCGACGGUGCCUAGGUUGGGACGGCGGAGGCUGGGGCGGCGGGACGGCGGAGGCGGGGACGGAGCGAGGUGGCCGCAGCAAUGAUUAAUUUCUACCAAAUUUCUACUAAUCUGUCCAUAUUUAUUGGAAUUUCUAGCAAUAACAUGAAUUUGUACGAAUUUCUAGCAAUAACAUGAAUUUUGUACGAAUUUCUAGCAAUAACAUGAAUUUGUACGAAUUUCGCGCGGUCGACGGUGCCUAGGUUGGGACGGCGGCGGCCGGGGCGGUGGAGGUGGGACGGCGGAGGCGGGGACGGAACCACGACGAAACACGAUUAAUUUCUAACCUAGGCGGAGCGACGAACCUAAUUACUACAAAUUUCCACUAAUUUGAUUUUCUAACACAUAUACAAAUAUCUAUUGAUUUUCUAACUAAUUACUACUCAUUUCUAUUUAUUUUCUAACUUAAAAAAGGCCCUUGCUGAGGCAAGCCCACCGGCUUGUGUCAG
rnacentral:lncRNA from 1 species